rnacentral:rRNA from 1 species
GAUGAACGCUGGCGGCGUGCCUAAUACAUGCAAGUCGAGCGAACGGACGAGAAGCUUGCUUCUCUGAUGUUAGCGGCGGACGGGUGAGUAACACGUGGAUAACCUACCUAUAAGACUGGGAUAACUUCGGGAAACCGGAGCUAAUACCGGAUAAUAUUUUGAACCGCAUGGUUCAAAAGUGAAAGACGGUCUUGCUGUCACUUAUAGAUGGAUCCGCGCUGCAUUAGCUAGUUGGUAAGGUAACGGCUUACCAAGGCAACGAUGCAUAGCCGACCUGAGAGGGUGAUCGGCCACACUGGAACUGAGACACGGUCCAGACUCCUACGGGAGGCAGCAGUAGGGAAUCUUCCGCAAUGGGCGAAAGCCUGACGGAGCAACGCCGCGUGAGUGAUGAAGGUCUUCGGAUCGUAAAACUCUGUUAUUAGGGAAGAACAUAUGUGUAAGUAACUGUGCACAUCUUGACGGUACCUAAUCAGAAAGCCACGGCUAACUACGUGCCAGCAGCCGCGGUAGUACGUAGGUGGCAAGCGUUAUCCGGAAUUAUUGGGCGUAAAGCGCGCGUAGGCGGUUCUUUAAGUCUGAUGUGAAAGCCCACGGCUCAACCGUGGAGGGUCAUUGGAAACUGGAAAACUUGAGUGCAGAAGAGGAAAGUGGAAUUCCAUGUGUAGCGGUGAAAUGCGCAGAGAUAUGGAGGAACACCAGUGGCGAAGGCGACUUUCUGGUCUGUAACUGACGCUGAUGUGCGAAAGCGUGGGGAUCAAACAGGAUUAGAUACCCUGGUAGUCCACGCCGUAAACGAUGAGUGCUAAGUGUUAGGGGGUUUCCGCCCCUUAGUGCUGCAGCUAACGCAUUAAGCACUCCGCCUGGGGAGUACGACCGCAAGGUUGAAACUCAAAGGAAUUGACGGGGACCCGCACAAGCGGUGGAGCAUGUGGUUUAAUUCGAAGCAACGCGAAGAACCUUACCAAAUCUUGACAUCCUUUGACAACUCUAGAGAUAGAGCCUUCCCCUUCGGGGGACAAAGUGACAGGUGGUGCAUGGUUGUCGUCAGCUCGUGUCGUGAGAUGUUGGGUUAAGUCCCGCAACGAGCGCAACCCUUAAGCUUAGUUGCCAUCAUUAAGUUGGGCACUCUAAGUUGACUGCCGGUGACAAACCGGAGGAAGGUGGGGAUGACGUCAAAUCAUCAUGCCCCUUAUGAUUUGGGCUACACACGUGCUACAAUGGACAAUACAAAGGGCAGCGAAACCGCGAGGUCAAGCAAAUCCCAUAAAGUUGUUCUCAGUUCGGAUUGUAGUCUGCAACUCGACUACAUGAAGCUGGAAUCGCUAGUAAUCGUAGAUCAGCAUGCUACGGUGAAUACGUUCCCGGGUCU